AUACGGAGGGUGCAAGCGUUGUUCGGAAUCACUGGGCGUAAAGGGCGCGCAGGCGGUUUGGUAAGUCAGAUGUGAAAGCCCAUGGCUCAACCAUGGAAGUGCAUUUGAAACUGUCAGACUUGAGUACUAGAGGGGAAAGUGGAAUUCCCGGUGUAGAGGUGAAAUUCGUAGAUAUCGGGAGGAAUACCGGUGGCGAAGGCGACUUUCUGGCUAGAUACUGACGCUGAGGCGCGAAAGCGUGGGGAGCAAACAGGAGUAGAUACCCUAGUAGUCC
rnacentral:rRNA from 1 species